rnacentral:rRNA from 1 species
CAAUAGCGUAUAUUAAAGUUGUUGCAGUUAAAAAGCUCGUAGUUGGAUUUCGGGGCAGCCUGGCUGGUCCGCCGCAAGGCGAGUACUGGUCGGCCGCCCUUCCUCUCGAAAGCCCCGACUGCUCUUUAUUGCAGUGGUCGGGUAGUUCGGGACGUUUACUUUGAAAAAAUUAGAGUGUUCAAGGCAGGCCUACGCCUGAAUACAUUAGCAUGGAGUAAUGGAAGAGGACCUCGGUCCUAUUUUGUUGGUUUCCAGGACCGAAGUAAUGAUUAAGAGGGACAGUUGGGGGCAUUCGUAUUUAAUUGUCAGAGGUGAAAUUCUCGGAUUUAUGAAAGACGAACAACUGCGAAAGCAUUUGCCAAGGAUGUUUUCAUUAG